rnacentral:rRNA from 1 species
GACGAACGCUGGCGGCGUGCCUAAUACAUGCAAGUCGAACGCAGUGGGGACGGGUGAGUAACACGUGGGUAACCUCCCAUCAGAGGGGAUAACACUUGGAAACAGGUGCUAAACCGAUACUGAUGGAUGAACCCGCGGUGCAUUAGCUAGUUGGGGAGGUAACGGCUCACCAAGGCCACUAUGCAUAGGCGACGUGAGAGUUGGAUCGGCCACACUGGGAUUGAGACACGGCCCAUACGCCUCCGGUAGGCAGCAGUGGGGAAUCUUCGGAAAUGGACGAAAGUCUGACCGAGCAACGCCGCGGGAGUGAAGAAGGUUUUCGGAUCGUAAAACUCUGUUGUUAGAGAAGCGGUAUCUAACCAGAAAGCCACGGCUAACUACGUGCCAGCAGCCGCGGUAAUUC